CAGACCAUAAUCCCAUAGAAUUCCUUUUUGCCUAUCGAACUCUGUCCUACCUUAAAUGCUAUUUUUACUGAAUCUUUCCGAAAUUCUGUGUUAAUCUUACCCCUAAAAUCCUCAAAUCUUUCGAAGCACAGAGAGAGCCGAUUUACUUCCGCAAUUAUUUAUGUAUCGAUACACUUAACAAAGUAAAGUGUAAUUUAUUCUUGAUUUAUUUUCGAGCCCAACAGGUUUGAUAUAGGGGUUUUCCGAUCGAUUCAGAAAAAGCUAGAGAGAAUGGCGAGUCCUGUCAACGUUACUCAAGUAAUCGAAUUUAAUUCAAAGGAAAAUUGUAUGUAUAUGUGCAUGCAUGUUAUGUAAUCGUUUUAUUAAAUUUUUGCAGUCUUGAGAUUGAUUUGUUCCUUUGGAUGAUUAGGUGGGAUCGUAUUUUGGUCGGCAGUAUUAUCAGGCGUUUCAUCAACAAAGGGAUAUUGUGCAUCAGUUUAUUGUUGACAGUUCUAUGAUUAGAAUCGAUGGGGAUUCAAGUGAAUCCUUUUCGGGAAGGGCAGUGAGUAUCUUUUCGAAAUACGAAUUUUGAUUUUGGAUUUCAAUUAUUUCUUGUUAGAUCGGAUUAAGGUUAUCGUAUUGAUUCAGUUACAAUAUUUGUCAUGACAGAAAUAAUAUAGGGUCAUGACUCAUGAAUGCUUAAUGUUUUUCAUUAUUAUUAACAGAUAUCAUCACUUAAAUCAAUGCGCUCCUCAAUUCACAUAUUAAUGGACGCAAGGACCCACUGCUACCUAAACCGUUAAUAAUCUUUAGUAAUGAUGAUUAUCAUCAUUUGUCACGAAUGCAAUAAACUUAAUGUCAUUUGGGUAAUUUUUUCAGCGUGUUUUUGCUUCACUUUCUUUAUAUACUUGUAAUUCCUGUCGUUUAACAUUAUCGUUAGGCAUAUUUUUGGCUAUGAAAUUUCAAGAGCAAAAUAAAUUACCAUUAAAGUAGUUGCAAUGAAUCAUUAAGCAUAAC
rnacentral:lncRNA from 1 species